rnacentral:rRNA from 1 species
AGAGUUUGAUCCUGGCUCAGAUUGAACGCUGGCGGCAGGCCUAACACAUGCAAGUCGAGCGGUAGCACAGAGAGCUUGCUCUCGGGUGACGAGCGGCGGACGGGUGAGUAAUGUCUGGGAAACUGCCUGAUGGAGGGGGAUAACUACUGGAAACGGUAGCUAAUACCGCAUAAUGUCGCAAGACCAAAGUGGGGGACCUUCGGGCCUCAUGCCAUCAGAUGUGCCCAGAUGGGAUUAGCUAGUAGGUGGGGUAACGGCUCACCUAGGCGACGAUCCCUAGCUGGUCUGAGAGGAUGACCAGCCACACUGGAACUGAGACACGGUCCAGACUCCUACGGGAGGCAGCAGUGGGGAAUAUUGCACAAUGGGCGCAAGCCUGAUGCAGCCAUGCCGCGUGUGUGAAGAAGGCCUUCGGGUUGUAAAGCACUUUCAGCGGGGAGGAAGGCGAUAAGGUUAAUAACCUUGUCGAUUGACGUUACCCGCAGAAGAAGCACCGGCUAACUCCGUGCCAGCAGCCGCGGUAAUACGGAGGGUGCAAGCGUUAAUCGGAAUUACUGGGCGUAAAGCGCACGCAGGCGGUCUGUCAAGUCGGAUGUGAAAUCCCCGGGCUCAACCUGGGAACUGCAUUCGAAACUGGCAGGCUAGAGUCUUGUAGAGGGGGGUAGAAUUCCAGGUGUAGCGGUGAAAUGCGUAGAGAUCUGGAGGAAUACCGGUGGCGAAGGCGGCCCCCUGGACAAAGACUGACGCUCAGGUGCGAAAGCGUGGGGAGCAAACAGGAUUAGAUACCCUGGUAGUCCACGCCGUAAACGAUGUCGAUUUGGAGGUUGUGCCCUUGAGGCGUGGCUUCCGGAGCUAACGCGUUAAAUCGACCGCCUGGGGAGUACGGCCGCAAGGUUAAAACUCAAAUGAAUUGACGGGGGCCCGCACAAGCGGUGGAGCAUGUGGUUUAAUUCGAUGCAACGCGAAGAACCUUACCUGGUCUUGACAUCCACAGAACUUUCCAGAGAUGGAUUGGUGCCUUCGGGAACUGUGAGACAGGUGCUGCAUGGCUGUCGUCAGCUCGUGUUGUGAAAUGUUGGGUUAAGUCCCGCAACGAGCGCAACCCUUAUCCUUUGUUGCCAGCGGUCCGGCCGGGAACUCAAAGGAGACUGCCAGUGAUAAACUGGAGGAAGGUGGGGAUGACGUCAAGUCAUCAUGGCCCUUACGACCAGGGCUACACACGUGCUACAAUGGCAUAUACAAAGAGAAGCGACCUCGCGAGAGCAAGCGGACCUCAUAAAGUAUGUCGUAGUCCGGAUUGGAGUCUGCAACUCGACUCCAUGAAGUCGGAAUCGCUAGUAAUCGUAGAUCAGAAUGCUACGGUGAAUACGUUCCCGGGCCUUGUACACACCGCCCGUCACACCAUGGGAGUGGGUUGCAAAAGAAGUAGGUAGCUUAACCUUCGGGAGGGCGCUUACCACUUUGUGAUUCAUGACUGGGGUGAAGUCGUAAAAGGUAACCUCAGUCAGUCAA